UCAGGAAACUAAGAUCCCGCAAGCAUGCAGGGCGUGGCCAAAGGAAAAAAAAAAAGUGAAAGUAAAGCUUCUCUGAGACAAGGAUUAAAAAUUCUAAGAUCUUCCAGAAAGAAAGCAGAUCACAUACAAAGGAACAUGAAUCUUGAAAUGAGAACUGCAAAUUGAGCAAUGAGAUACCACUUUACAGUGAUAAAAUGAACAAAAAAUUGCAAGGCUUGGUGAUUCCAAGUGUCGGUCAGACAAUUUCACACAGGGAAAGAUAAACUUUUUUGUGCUUCUGACGGGAAGGUGAGCUGUCACAGCCAUUCUGGAAACCAGUCUGUGGCUCCGUCGUGAAACUGAGAAGAAUACAUAUUCUCUACUACACGAUUCCCUCUCUAGUCAUAUGCCCCAGAGAGACUCUUGCACAGGUCUAUAGAGAUGGCAUAGGAGAAUUAUGUUUUUUUGCAGUCGUUUGUGGUGGUAGGCAGUUGGAAGGGACUUUGUCUAUUGCAGUGAGAAUGAGUAAGUAAACCAAGGUGGACAUCUAGUAUGGAAUAUAUACUAUAAUGCAGUCACAAUUCAAUGAACUAGAUGUACCUAUGGUUUAACAUGGAUUGAGCUUUAAAACAUAGUGAAAAAGGGAAGAAAGUGAAUAAGAUUUAUGCAGUAUCAUUUGCAAUAUGAAAAAUAAGAAUACGUGUGUAAAAAACAUUAUCUUUCAGGGAUACAUACAGAUGCAAAGAUUAACUAUACACAUUAGAGUGGGCAGGGAAUGGGAGUGAGGAUGUGAUGGGGAAAAAGAGGCACAAUAGAAUAAGGUAAGAGACAGUGGUGCUCAGAGAGCAUGCCAACCUCUGUACCUCUGAUGAUGUGCUGUGAACUGAAAAAGUUUACAACCUUUUUUCUUACACAGCAAGGAAAAUAUAAUUUGUGCUUUUUGUAAGCCUAGGUGAAAUCAUAACUUAUGUGUUGUUCUGCUUGCCAAUUUAUUUUUUAAUUGUAUGUUCACUUGUUUAAUAUUUAACAAUUUUUAUGGAGCAUCCACUGCUCAACAUAUAUAUACCUGGUACAGUUCUAGGGCUCGAAGCACAGGGAAUACAGCUAUGAAUGACACGCCCACAGGAUAAAUACCUAGAAGAAGCAUUGGGUCAGAGGGUAAGCACAACUAAAAUUUAAUAGAUAUUGCUAAAUUGUCCUGAAAAUGUCUAUACCAACUGGUAUUUUUUAUUAGGUGAGGUAUUUUUGAUGUGGUAUUAAUAGGGGCACUUUCCAAUUAUUUGUUUCUCUAAAUGUGGAUGAAAGGGAGUGAGAGGAAGGGAGUUAGGAAGAAUCCUAAGGAAAGAUGGGAUUUGAGCCGUACAUUGUGUGUGAGCUGAGACAGCCCUGACAGAGCAAUGUCUGAUGUGUAUGAGAGGCACAUGCUCCCCAGGCCUCCUCAUCCCAGCCCAGCCUCUCCUGACCUGGGCAUUUCCCUCUUGGGUCAUUUGGCAGUGGGCUCUGACAUCAAGCACCUGCCAUGGCAGGGGGAGAGGAAAACCCAUCUCAUGAUUAUUCCUUACCCAUUGUUACCUUAGCAGGAGUGCAGCAUCUGUGCCGUGGGCCGGCACCCCUACCAGGCUUCCGAUGUGCUUUCCAUCCAACUGCCACAGCCCUAGAUGGCAACCCCUGGGCUCCACCCAGAGCUCGUGGCGGAAACAGGAUGUAAUGCUUCCAAGCGGGCAAGGAUUUUGCCUUCAUAAAUCUCCGGAAGAGCAUGAGACACCAAGCUCUACAUUCACGGAUGUCUCCAGACUCUAGGGGAAGCAUGUCAAGUACAUCAAGCUCUCCCAGGAGACACCUUACAACGCUCUACUUGGAUGGCAAUCCCAGGAUGGGACUGAAGAUUGUAAGGGUGGAGAACGAAAGAAGAAAAUACGUGUCGAGAGAACAAAUCGAGGUAGAAAGACCAUCUGCGGGGAAGAAAGAGAUGGUCUGCUGCUCUCUGUGCUUAAGGAGUAUGGAAUGGCUGGGAACUUCCCGAGGUGGAAGUGAGGUUCCAUCUUCUGAUACCACAGGAGGACAAACAUUUACAACUAAAACCCUUCCAACUGUCUGUCCAUCCAUCCACCCACCCAUCCACCCAACAGGUGUUAUUAUAUGUCUACUCUGAGACAGAGGACGUUGACGUUGACAGAGAAAGACCAAAGGAACUUUUGUGACUUCAUCCAAAUGUCAUAACAAAAGUGGAUUUACUUAUAUAUGGCUAUGUGUCAAGUGUUACUUCAUUUUGUGACCUCUUGAGGAUGCGUCCGGCUCUGAGAUUCUGCGACACUUGAGGUAUAUCUGAAAUUUGCAGGUAAGAGAGAGCCGUUAAAGUUUUCUGAGGAGGACAGCGACCUGAACUAAGCUGUGUUUUACAAACACUGUCCUGGCAGCAGUGUAAAGGAUGAGUCAAGGGAAGAAGUCGAGGGCAGAGAAACCAGGAACCCCACCUUAUCCCACUGUGAAGGAAUCAGAGGAAGAUUAUUUACUUCACUUGAGUCUAGUUGAAUAUUUACCAGGAUUAAUCCAGAUGGGAGAAGGCAGGUCCUGUCUCCUGGUUGGGAGUGGGGUUCUCCGCUUGUCUCCACAUAAAAUUUAAGAGCUAAGGAACGCAAUACUGAAAAAAGGACCAGGGGGAAAAUGAAUUAAUGAAGCCUCCCCAAGCUCUGAGUGAAGAAUACUAUCGAGGCCAUCUGUGGUCUGCCUGCCCAGUGCCCUUCGUCUCCACAGGGUCCAUCUCUUUCUGCGGGAAAAUCACAUCUCCCUGACCCUGAUCUUAUGGUUUGGACGGAGAGGGCACUACCUCCUGGCUCUGGUGGGAACUCAGUUUCAACCAAUAACACCACAUCCCUCCGGUCACAGUAACUAAUUCUGGGGCUGGCCCUUGACCAAUGCCAGAUCAGACAGAGGCAAGCCUGAGCCUCUUGCUCAAAUCCGUGGGAUUGCUAAACUGGCAGCACAUACGCCCAGAGCUUCUGGAAGUCAUCCUGCUACCACAGGAGAGGAGCCUGCCAGAGAAGAAAUCCAACAUAAAGGAAAGCAGAGCCAGGGAUGGAUACUAAUUCCUGAUGACACCAUAUGAGUAUCUGGAUCCAGCUGCACUUACAACCAGAACCACUUGGAUGUUUGUUAUCUAAACAAAUAAGUCUUUUGUUGUUGUUGUUAAGUCAGUAAUAACUUGAAUUCUAAGUAUUCUAUACCCAGAAAGGAAGAAUCUAUCUGUAUACAAAUUUAUAGCCUGGAGAAAUAAAAUGUCAGCCUCUUCUGUUAA